UACAGAGGUCUCAAGCGUUGUUCGGAUUCAUUGGGCGUAAAGGGUGCGUAGGUGGCGCCGUAAGUGGGGUGUGAAAUUUCGGAGCUUAACUCCGAAACUGCAUUCCAUACUGCGGUGCUUGAGGACUGGAGAGGAGACUGGAAUUUACGGUGUAGCAGUGAAAUGCGUAGAGAUCAUGAGGAAGACCAGUGGCGAAGGCGGGUCUCUGGACAGUUUCUGACACUGAGGCACGAAGGCCAGGGGAGCAAACGGG
rnacentral:rRNA from 1 species